GUCUUUUAGGCCUUGGUGCGGAUCGCGCGAGGAUAUUACACAAAAUCGUAUGUAACAGAAUGUAGAUCUAGUGCGUAAGCACGAAAUGUACAACUUUCAACAACGGAUCUCUUGGCUCUCGCAUCGAUGAAGAACGCAGCGAAAUGCGAUAAGU
rnacentral:rRNA from 1 species